rnacentral:ncRNA from 1 species
AACAGUUAUAGCGCCAGUACUGAAGAAAUCGAGCGUAGAAGCUUCAGUAGACGAGGUGGAGGAGUAUCGAAGUUUUCGGCGGAUGCCUCCCGGUCGCAAGUGCCCGAUCGUAUGCUUACUUUUAAAUGGCUCAAGUAAUUGAGCAGACAGAGAGAGUAAGAAG